AAACUUACAACGUUUUAUGAUCUUUACACAUAAAAACUCAGACUAGGUUAGGGUGUGGCACUCACCUCUGGUACAGAAUUUAAGAAGGUUCAAAAACUUUGGUAAUAGUAAACAAUAUUUUCAAGACUUAAAAAAUAUUUUAAUAUCCAAAAUAAUCAAAUUGUUAAACUACAUCCUGCAGACCGGCAGCAUAAUUUUGUAAAUAAAGUUUUAGUGGAACCAGGGUGUUGAGGUCAGUAAGCUCAAGGCACAAGUGCGGGGUUCUAGCCUCUUCAAAAUUUUAUUUAGGCCGGGCACGGUGGCUCACGCUUGUAAUCCCAGCACUUUCGGAGGCCGCGGGGCGCGGAUCACCCGAGGUCAGGAGUUGGAGACCAGCCACGACUAACAUGGUGUCUCCAAUAAAAAUACAAAAAUUAGCCAGGAUGGUCUCAAUCUCCUGAUCUUGUGAUCCACCUGCCUCGGCCUCCCAAAGUGCUGGGAUUACAGGUGUGAGCCACUGCGCCCGGCCUGUUAUCCACAUUUUAUAAAUGAGGAAACCAAGGCACAGAGAGGUGAAGUGACUUGCCCAAGAUCAUACAGUGGGAAAAGUGGCGGAGUCAGGAUUUGAAUCUGGGCAGCCUGGCUCUAGGUGCUGGGCUCUAGAUGGAAGGCCCUGUCUGAGCUCCCUGCACUAGGAACAAGUGUGGUCAGGGGCUGGACGGUCAGCUUUUGGGUAGCCAUUCAAGAAAUGUAUUGAAAAACCUAGAGAGGCAGGCUAGGGAGAGCUGAGUUGGUUACAUCUGGGGUCCAUCUAGGGUUCCAUCCCUGGAAGAGAUGGUGGUGGUUAGGGCUGUCCGGAGCUCCUCAGGGGCAAAGACCCCCAGUUCUGUGAUGAUGCCACCAGUGAUGAGGUCGUGGGGGGUGACAUCGAAGGCAGGAUUCCAAACUCCAAUCCCUGCAGGGGAGAGAGGGGAGGCAAGGAGGCAAGAAUUUGCUUCUGUGAAAGUUCUCAGGUUGUAGUCAUCUGUUUCUACCACAGUGGUUCUUGGAGUUGGGGAGUCCUUGAGAACCUGAGGAUUCUCACCCCAAAAGUACAUGCAGGCAUGGACAUUGUACUCAAUAGUAAGUUUAGACUCGCCACUGCCCCUAGAAUGUCAGUCCCCAAGAAAAAUUCAAAGUCCUAUACACAUCUAUGCCACUUAUUUUUUUAUUUUUUGUGAGAUGUAGUUUUGCUCUUGUUGCCCAGGCUGGAGUGCAAUGGCACGAUCUUGGUUCACUGCAACCUCCACCUCCCAGGUUUCAAGCAAUUCUCCUGCCUCAGCCUCCCGAGUAGCUGGGAUUACAGGCAUGCACCACCAUGCCCAGCCAGUAUUUUUAGUAGAGACGAGGUUUUUCCAUGUUGGUCAGGCUGGUCUCAAACUCCCGACCUCAGGUGAUCUGCCCGCCUCGGCCUCCCAAAGUGCUGGGAUUACAGGCGUGAGCCACCGCACCUGGCCCAUCCCACUUAUUUUUUUAGUUU
rnacentral:lncRNA from 10 species